CCACAGUGGGGCUCCUGGGUUUCCAGCCCUUAGCUCCUUGGCUCAGGCAAUGCCAAAGCCAUUGUUUUCUGUGCUGAAACUAUGUGGUUUCUGUGCUGGAAUUAUGAGUAAACCAUGAAAAAAUAUUAACAUUUUUGUGUAGGCUUAUGCAACUUUUUCCAUGAAGACCCUCAAAAAUGGCAAAAGUCUUGUCAUUAACUGUAUGUGUGUGUAUGGUACUCGGGUGUCUUCUGAAAGCAGCAAAUGUUUGUCCAGAAAGAGCAUGUUUGCAGACUGGAGAGGUUCUGAAGGACAUCACUUAUAAAAACUCCCACCAAAAGGCCUCUGUGAAGGCCUCACUAAGCAGACACAUAUAAACCUGCUUUACAGACAAAUUUUGUUCUACAAACACAGCUGCUACUGCUUUCGAGCAGUCAUGAAGCAUGGCUACAAUGUCAAUUAGAUUGGAGCAAAGUCCCACCACGGUGCCACUUUUUACCAGGAGUGGGUGCCUCUUCUGUCCUGGAGCAAGAAUGGUGGUCACCCCCAGGGGCCCACUGGCUUCACCAGUGCCUCACCAAGGGCCCCAGAAAUGCUCUCCUACCAGGAAACACUCUUGUACAUGAGAUCCCAAACACUAUAUAAAGGGCUUUCAGCCUUAGCAUGUGUAUCAGCACUUUGUAAAACACAUGGGGAUGGAAACAUAUAUGCCAAAUUCUUUGAGCAGUGAGACUGAUUAGUGAUUCAAGGUUUGUCCUGGGGAAAUGCUUGCUUUUAUAAAAUAGUGGGCUGCUGUCACUCAUGUUUGAGCAGACUUCAUUGCUCAGGGGCUCAGAUGUAUCCUGUGAAAUUCAGACAUACCACUGAGUGUUUUUGAGGUUGGUGGGUGGAUGCCUGCCCAUUACAGAGCCCAGCUAUACAGAUGCUCAAUGAUUAAGCUGGACUCCUACACACUUGUAAGGUACACAAGGCUCAUGGAGUGCCUGCCAAGUUCCUCAAGUAGUAAUAGUUCAUGACACUCUUGAGAUAUCUGCCAGAUGCCGACACAGUGUUCUGAAGUUCCUAUUUCAGGACAUAAUUUUAAAAAUACUUCUAGCUGGGGAUUUAGAUGCCAAAAAGCAUUUGUGUAUGAAUUUGUAAUGUAAACCAUAAACCCAACAGGAAACAUCAGAGCCUUCUCCUUUUGUAGACACCUUGUGACUAAGGAGUUAGGAAAAUGUUCUUCUAUUGGCAAGAAAACAAAUACAUUUUACUGUCCCAUAUGUGCAAAAUGAAAUAACCAAUUAACAUAUAUCUGGCAAAGAAAGAAUAUUUUUACCUUCCAGCAUUGCCCACACAUCCCAAAUUUUAUAUUGAUUGCACCAUUUAUGAGUAUUGCACAGGGAGCAGAUGGUGAACACUCUGCUGAGCCUGAGUGUGGCUGACAGGGAGAUAUGGCACUUUUAAUAACAGAAGCAGCAAUUUAGCUCAAGCCUGAAUUUUCUCACAUUCUGCAGCUUACACAAGGAGAGCAAAAGCUUUAUAACAUAGUUGCUUUCAUAUCAACAAGUGGCUGGCAUAACCACUCUCAGAGUACUGAUAUAAUUCUUAUCCUUUCAGUAGACAUCAAAAUUAAAUGCAGAAGAAAAGAAGUCCCAAAAAGAGACCCUUGUCUGCUUUGCCUCACAUAGGGUCUACAUUUGUAGACUCAAGUUCAAUAACCCCCUGGUGCAUGUGUAUGUUGUAUGUGUUUUCAGCACAUUGGCUCUUUGAAGUGGCUUCUUGGCUUUUAAAUCUUUUCUCAAGUAAGUCUCAGAUAGGUCUGAGGAAGACUUAAAGCUAACAAAACACUAGGCCUGCUUUUCCCAGUGGGUUUUCACAGGGGAAAUGCAAAGACAACAACAGUGUGAGCAGAAGAAUGCAACUCCCACCCCUGCAGCAAGCCAUCCUCAAUGCACGUUUUCAGCCUGGCCACACAAGCCUCUGGGCCAGAAUAAAGUUAUGUAUUUGUUGUUUGUCUGUGGGGUAUUGUCACUGGUUAUUUGUAAUUGCUGAAUAGAUUCAAAUGCCCUGUGCCAUCAUUUUGAGCCAUGUACCAUCUUCUUCAUCAGGUUGGCAUAUGCUGGGCCCCUGAAUGCAGUAAUGAGCCUUGAUCAUCCUCAGCUGGAGCUUCCAGACACACCCACGGGGGCAGGAAGCCCCAUUUCAACCAGCCCCAAUCCCCAAGCUGGUUGAAAAGGCUGGGGUAUGAUGUCCUGGCUGAGCAGUAAUGGGGGACUGCUGCUCUCUUAUCCAUGUCUGUGGCUGUACCUUUUUUUUUUUUCACCAUGGGCCUUAUUGAUCUAGACCUCAACCACCAGGUUGAUAUCCUGUCUUUGUCCAGCCUGGUUGUUGUGGACCUUCCUGCCCAUCAUUAAACCUGGUCUUAACCCUGAACUAUGGACUGAAUUGACCUCAGGCCUCUUUUGUCACCAUGAUACUGCCUCAUGAUCUGGGCUCUUGGGUGGUUCCAGCUAUCAUGUCCAGGUGAGCAAGAGGUUGUGUGCGCAAGGCCAGAGCUGGAGCUGCAUGCCCACCAAAGCCACAGCUGAAGACUGCUGGUGUAUUCCUUUGGAGCCCAAAAGUAUAUCAAUUUCAUGGCACAAAGGUUCAUCUUUCUACUACAGUGAACCAGUCCACUUAGGGGCACUGGGACCAUGACCAGGUCUUCACUGAGCAGUGGGCCUUGCAAAUAAGAUGGAAAGAGGACUGUGGAUCCUGAGCUGUAAAAGCCAGCGUAGCAAUGAAAUCUGCUUUUCAUGUGUCUCAAGGCUGGAGUUUCCAGUGGAUUCCCUCAUGUGUCAUAAGGAAUGGAUGCCCUCCUGAAGGAAGAACAGUUUUGUGGAAUUUUAAGGAGAAGCUGUGGUUGCAACCUCAGGCUAGGAGCUUGCAAGGACUGUCUUUGGCCCAUUAAUGCUACUUCUGUUUUUGUCACCCUUCCAAUAGGAGGACUGACAAACCUCCUAUCUAGAAGAACGAAAAAUAAAUUGCCAGUUGAAUGCUCAAUGGAAAAGUGUCUUUAAAGCUGCCAAUGCUACCUUCUUCUGCUGUGAAAGAUGACUUUUAAACUCAAUUUCAGAAAUAAUUAUGCCAGUUGUGGGUUUUACCUGGACUCCUCCUCUUACCUUUUCUAAGGAGCAUUCUCAGGAAGUUUUAGAAUCAGAAUUGUCACUAGCAAGAUGAUGAAAUUCACUGUACUUUGUAGAAAUAGCUUUUCUGUAUAAUAUGCUUGGAAUAAUUUCCCCAAACCUAUUCAAAAUAUAAUUUUCUAGCAGGGAAAAAUAUAAACGGUCUGAUGAAGGUUUAAAAAAUACAAACUCAUACCUUCUAUGACAAAAAAAAAAAAGAGGGGUAAUCUCUAAAAUCUUCAGGGAAAGAAGCAAGGCCUCUCCCUCACUGGUGACUGAGCUUUGAUUUGCACCACGGUAAGAGUUACACACAGAAUAUACCAUUAGAUAGAUCUGCCUAGUUCUUGUUUCAGAUACACAGGAAAACAGUUCAUUUUUGAAUCUCACUACAACAACCUAAUUUCCUAAAUAGUUGUUCUUUGAUUUUGGGAAGGCACUAAAAACUGAUUCCAAAUUAGCUGCUUUAGGAGGAGAGAAGAGCUACUUGAGCAAUGGGCUCAGACAUAGAUGUCAUGUGGGGAGCCUGGAAAAAGGGGGAAGGGACAGUGCAGCUCACUUGCAUGAUCCCAGUGCUUAAGCAUUGCAGUAAAUUCCACUGAUAGCACAGUGAGAGAUGGUCUCACUUUCCUGUGUUAAAUCCGUUUUAGUAGCUGUAGGCAAAAGGGUCAAAUAUUUAACUUGGUAUUAAACUUAGCAAAAUAAAGUGAGUUUCUUGUGCACAGAACAUAUUCAUGUAAGUAUAUUAUCCCAUCUGUCUGAAAGGUCAGGAAUGGCUUAACAAAGUUUGAAACAGUUGUGCUGGAAGAGUUGAAGAGCAGGGUGCUUGAGCACUGACCAGGCAGACCAUGAAUUGCCUACAGCACAGGUGGCAAAAGAGAAAGGUUUGUUUAAUGUACCUUGACACUUCGAGGAGGGCAACCCCUCGUACAGCUGUGACCUGAUGUUCCCACUGCAUCUUCUGUCUAGGUGCCCCGUUACCCAUUUUUGUAGUGCUCUGUAAUAACUCCUGUAUUUGGGGAAAUACUAUUUUGUUUACAACUAACAAACAAAUUUCAGUGACUCUCAGCCCUGUAUAAGCUUUACACAGCUUUUGUAGCUGAGUAAUAAGGUUUGGACACAUGCAUUUCAUGCUCCAUGCUGCUGAUGCACAAAAGAACUGCAGACUUCUCUGCUGCAGCUUAUGAAAACAACUGAUUUUUACUGGAAUGUAUGUAUGUACACCCACACACCCCCCUAAAUUUCCACAUUUUGUGAGGGAAAAAAAACCUGUUUUCCUCUUCCCCUUUUUUCUUUUUUCCCCCUCACAGCAUAACAACUCACUAUUAGACUCCUUAGUAUUCUCCCUCUCUCCCUGCCUACUCCAAGAAGGCAGUCCUUGCAGUUGCUUCCCUUGGGAUUCUGACAGCUUUAACUACAUGUAGUAGUUUUUUCACUUGUUAUUGCUUUCAUUUGGAAAUGUAUUUCCAAUAAUUUCAAUGGCAAGGUUGACUUUACUUCUUGUAACAGAACACUUAGCCUAAAUUGUCAUGAGUAAUUUAAUUAAUGCCUACAGGAAUCCAUGCUAGAUUUUUUAUUAGUUUUUGUCAUUCACUGUUGCAAUUAUUAACUGGCCAGUCUAACAGCCGAGGUCUUGCAAAGAAAGUGCAGAUCUCUCUCGUCACACCACUGAAUAGUGGAUAGUGUAAGGGAUAGUUUUAAAGUUUGAGAUGAUUGUGGCUUUUUGUAGUACCUUCCAUACACAUUUUGGCCAUUUUGUAGUACCUUUCACACACUGUGUUGUGUGCUGGAAAUCACUGGUGCCUCUGGGAGUUAAGGUGGUGGAGAAAAUCUUUCUAGUGAUUCCAGCCUAGUCCCUCUGUGUGGGAAAAGCUGGAAGUUUUAGCACAUCCCAUUCUUUGCUAGGUCCCAUUCUAGGGUGCAGGGUUUCAGGCAAUUUUCCUCUGCUAUAGAUGAUAAAGAUUACUUUAAAAUUAUUUCUGUGUCUGCCUGUAUUUUUCAGAGUAAGAUGCCACAAGAAUGGAUAGAUGGACUAUUGUUAGACAACAUGUGCAGCACCUGCUCACUGCAGGGAGGAAGGAGAAGGAUUCCAGAGAUGCAGGAAGAAAGCAAAUAUAGGAAGAGUAAGGAGUAGAUAGUGUAAGGCAUCACAACCUCAAAACUCGACUGAUUUGCUGGAUGAUUUUACAAUAUCAUGAGAAAGUUAUCAUUUCAUUGAAGCUGAAGCUUCCCAAAUUACUGAACUACAAAGACCUAGUUGGAUACGCCACUAAAAUUAAGGAUGUCUGCCGUGGACUGGGCCAGGGUGUUGGUGGAACCGAGAGGGGAAGAGGGAUUCCCCAGCAUGCCGGGCCCUGUUCGCCAGGCGGCAUUUUUGGGAGAUGAUUAGUCAGGGCUGUACCUCAGAGGGAAAUCACGUACUCUGUGUUAAGUCGAGUAAGCGCUCCUAUUCCUGACAGAAAGCGUCUGGCAAUUCCUUCGAAACAACCGUUUUGGAUAUAA